GAUCAUUACUGAGUUACAAACUCCAAACCUUUGUGAACAUACCACAGUUGCUUCGGCGGCCUCGCCCCGGGCGCACCGGGGGCCGCAAGGCCCCAGCCGCGACCCGGACCCAGGCGACCGCCGGGGGACCCAAACUCUUGUCUUUCCAGUGUAUUAUCUGAGUGGCAUAAGCAAAAUAAAUCAAAACUUUCAGCAACGGAUCUCUUGGUUCUGGCAUCGAUGAAGAACGCAGCGAAAUGCGAUAAGUAAUGUGAAUUGCAGAAUUCAGUGAAUCAUCGAAUCUUUGAACGCACAUUGCGCCCGCCAGUACUCUGGCGGGCAUGCCUGUCCGAGCGUCAUUUCAACCCUCAGCCCCCCCCGUCCGCGGCGGGAGCUGGUGUUGGGGAUCGGCCGUCCUCAGCGGCGGCCGGCCCCGAAACGAAGUGGCGGUCACGUCGCGACCUCCUCUGCGCAGUAGUGAUACCUCGCAGCCUGGAUAGCGGCGCGGCCAUGCCGUAAAACCCCAACUAUUUCAAGGUUGACCUCGGAUCAGG
rnacentral:misc_RNA from 1 species